AAUACUAUGAUUUUAACACUUUCGUGAUUGUUAUUGACAGAAGCAAUGUAUUGUUGCCAAAAAGUGGCAUAUCUCCCACUCAUGAGGACCAUGACUGUCCACGGAUGUAGCAGAAAAGAGAAAGGAGGAGGGUGAAGGCAGAGUCCCACCAGUUCACAAGUGGACCAGAGGAAAGAGUCAGACGAAGUCCCAGAAAGAGGGCAAAAGAGGAAGGAGUCUGACUGCCUCUGCAGUCUGCAUGGAAAGGAAUUACAACUGUUCUGUCAAGAAGAUAGAGAGCUGGUGUGCUAUGAAUGUCGAAACUCGAAAAAUCACAAGUCUCACAACUUCAGACCAAUCCGUAGAACAGUGCCUGACCUUAAGGAGGAGCUCAGGCUUAAAGUGGUGCCACUGAAGAGACAGAUUGAAUUACAUGAAGAAGUGAAGGUCACCUGUGAAGAAACAGCAAAGCA